rnacentral:misc_RNA from 1 species
GGGCCAUAAAAGUUGAGUAAUACCGAAUGGUGCCCAGUACUUCACCCUCCAGGCUGAAUACUUUAAUAAUUUGUUUUGCUGAGCCACUGGCAAUGAUAGGGGCAUGCCUAUGAACAGCUAAAGCUGUAAGUGAGCCCCUGUGAGCAUUAAUUGUGAGGUAUGUAUCCCUGGGAUUUCUGAUAUCCAGGAACUCAAUAUCACCAGCCUGAGAUGCACUGACAAACUUCCCAGAAUCAAGACCAGGUUGAAAGCCAAUACCAACUACUCUUUCUACUCUUGUAUGGGGUCGUUUAGCACACACAAGCAUUUCAGGUGUCCGGAUAUCAUAGAGUCUGACAGACCCAUCCACAAAACCUGCUGCAAAUUGACCCCCAUGAACUUGAGAAGCAGACAAUGCUGAGAUGCU